rnacentral:ncRNA from 1 species
CUGCUUGAUCCUGCCAGUAGCAUACUCUUGUCCCAAAGAUUAAGCCAUGCAUGUCUUAGUACACAUGGUGGGUACAGUGUAACUGUGAAUGGCUCAUUAAAUCAGUUUUUGCUCCAUUGAUCGCUCCAAUGUUAUUUAGAUAACUGUGGAAAUGCUAGAGCUAAGAUAUGCCAACAAGUGCUGACCUUCAGGGACACGUGCAUUUAUCAGACCCAAAACCCAUAUGGGGUACUUUCAGGUGCCCCAGGCGCUUUUAGUGACCCUUCCUGGCACUGUCUGCCCUAUCAACUUUCAAUGGUAGUUUCUGUACCAACCAUGGUGACCACGGGUAACAGGGAAUUAAAGUUAAAUUCUGGAGAGGGAGCCUGAGAAAUGGGUAGCACAUCUAAGAAAGGCAGCAGGCACACAAAUCCACUCUCGAGUCGGGGAGGUAGUGACGUAAAAUAACAAUACAGGACUCUUUCAAGGCCCUGUAAUUGGAAUGAGUACACUUCAAAUCUUUUAAUGAAGAUCCAUCACUGAUGUUUAGAACUGAUGUUUAGAAGCAUUUU